UUCUUUGGGUUUUAUUUUUGUUCUUUUCCCUUGGAUUCUGUUUGUUUUGUUGUUUUUAUUUGUAUUUUUAUUAUUUUAUUUAUAUUCAGGAGUUUUAAUAUUUGAAUGAAUUUUUCAUUUUGGAAAGUCCGGUACGAAUUAAGAUAAUUUAUUAUUCUGUUUAAAUGGAAUAGAAUUUUAUUUAAAGAAAUUUGACAUCUUCUGGCGAAAUAGUUUGUUCUUAUCUUCGUACUUUUUUAGAUAAUAAAUAUUUAACAUAAUCCGGCUUAUAAAAUUCUGAAUA
rnacentral:RNase_P_RNA from 1 species